ACGUAGGGUGCGAGCGUUAAUCGGAAUUACUGGGCGUAAAGCGUGCGCAGGCGGUUUUGUAAGACAGGCGUGAAAUCCCCGAGCUCAACUUGGGAAUGGCGCUUGUGACUGCAAGGCUAGAGUAUGUCAGAGGGGGGUAGAAUUCCACGUGUAGCAGUGAAAUGCGUAGAGAUGUGGAGGAAUACCGAUGGCGAAGGCAGCCCCCUGGGACGUCACUGACGCUCAUGCACGAAAGCGUGGGGAGCAAACAGGA
rnacentral:rRNA from 1 species